AGUCGUCCUAAAUGAAAGGCAGCUCCCGCACGCAGAAGGUCUAACUCCUGAGCUCCCUGGAGUGGCCGCCCAUCUGCCUUCUGCUAACUCUGGGCAAGAUGAACACAGCUGUCUUUGUUUCCAGGGCCUGGCUUUCCCAUCAGCGUCCGGGCUCCCGGCCCUCGGUGAAGUUUAUUUCUCUGUCUGGCCAAACGACAGUGAAGUUAAUGCCAAGAUCCCACUAUCCGCCGCUCCCCGCCUGAAAUCAGCUCAACCCUCACAUGUCACAACAAACAUGCCAUGCUGCCAGUUUAUUUAUCAGGUGUUCUCAUUAAAAAUAACACCACUUGAGGGCCAAGAAAGGCAUUUAAAAAAAUUUCCCUGCACUACCAAAGGACUCUAUAACUCAAAAAUUUUAAGAAUCUGAGAUCACAGGCCAGUUUGAAGAGAGUUUAGAAGCAAGUGAGAAGUGUAAGCACCUAGCGUAGACAACUUUCUCAAGUUUGGAUUAGAAGGGGAAAAGACGGAAGCGGUGAAAAAUAAAAGACUGCAGAAUCAAUGUAGUGAUGCAAUGUCGACCCAUUGUCAGA